CGCCCCAAGAUCGGGAGUGACGUACAGCAAGGAAUGGUUCUGUUUUCACGUCACUCCUUUACGUUAACCUUGGUAGGCUGACGUCACAUACCAUGCACUCUUCCUCAGAACUUCGAUGAGACAUACCCUGUUUAACGAAACUGACGCAGCUGUUUCGAACGUAACAAAAGUAUGGCUCGUGUUUGCUUCAGAUCAAGAAGGUGCACCUAACCUAUGUAAGAAGGCACGCCACUACGAUAGAUGACUUCAAGAACAGCCCAAGCAACAUUUGAGAAUCACAAGAGUUCGGGAAAUAAAAAAUGGCAUAUUGCCUUCUAUAUAAUAUGUGUAAAAUAAACCUGAAGCACCAAAAA